rnacentral:misc_RNA from 1 species
UUUUUAUAAUUGCUAGGUAUUCUUUUUGAAAAGGCUCGUAAAUAAAUGUAUUGAUAAAAAUUUACAGAAAUAAAUCUGAGCUAAAACUGCAACUGCAUGUGUUUGCACAGCAUGAAACAAAAUAAAAAUAAACCAGUGGGAUAAAAAAGAAAUUCGUCUUGUGGUUUUGUGCCAGAUAAUAUAAUGAUAUGUACUUUUAAACUUUAUGUACGAAUGGAUGGUGAUUUAAAAAAUCUCUUUAUGGAUGGCCGAUCUAUAUUAUAAAGCUGAAAGACUUGAGAUUUUCGGUGAUCAAAUUAGAUAUGCUCCUGAUGAAUCUGGGCGAGUUGGUAUGUUCAUUCAUAAUUUUGGUUUAAAACCAGAAUGCAAUUAUUUUGAGGUACUCAUUGAAGAUAUUGGUACUACUGGUGGAAUUGCUAUAGGCCUGGUAUCUUCUAAGCAUCCUUUAGAUCAAUAUCCAGGUUAUGUACCUGAUUCUAUAGGAUAUAUAAGUGAGGGAAGGCUUUACAAAGACACACCUAAAGUGAUUGGAAUCGGUCCGAAAUUUUAUUGCCAAGAUCGCUUAGGAUGUGGUCUGAAGUUUAAAUCUUCACCUGAAGAUACUCAAGAGAAUGAAGCAGCUGUUUUCUUCACAAAAAACGGAAAAGAAAUUGGCCAAACUGUUUGUACCAUGCCAGCUGGUGGACUUUACCCUGCUGUUGGUCUUAAUGCCUUUGGAGCUCAACUUUUUUACAUUGGACGAUCUAAGUGGACACCCGAGGAAGAUAUGUCUAUGUGCAUAGACAGUAACGAAGAAGAGUGGUCUAGAUUGCAUGAUAUCAAACUCAAUGGCUCAAUAUUAGAAUAUGCCGGUCGAGGUAAAAGUAUCAUUGAUGUUGGUUUAGCUCAAGCCAAAUAUCCUUUAGAUACUACGCACCAUUAUUUUGAAAUUGAAAUUUUAGAUCCAGGAGAAAACUGCUAUAUUGCUAUAGGUCUAGCUAGAAAAGAUUAUCCGAAAUACAGGCAUCCAGGCUGGAAUAAAGGGUCAAUAGCUUACCAUGCAGAUGAUGGGAAAAUAUUUGUCGGUAGUGGUGUUGGAGAUCCUUUUGGGCCUCGUUGUUAUAAGGGUGACAUAAUGGGAUGUGGAAUUAUGUUCCCCCGAGACUUUGUUUGUUACUUUGACUGUGAUGAAUCGAGUGAAAAUGGUCCGUCUUCCUUAAAUGCAGACUUUGAUGAUGAAUUGUCGGGGUCUCUGAGUGAAUCUGAAGAUGAGGAAUGGUGGAAAGCUAAAGAAAAUAUUGAAUUUGGUGUUAACAUACAGGUGUUUUUUACUCGUAAUGGUAAAACCAUUGGCCAGAAAGAUGUAUGCAUUCCAAAGGGUGGAUUUUACCCAACUAUUGGAAUGCUAAGCAGCGAUGAGAAAGUGAAAGUCGACUUGCAUCCUUUAACUGGUUGAAAUUGUUUUUUCCCCUGCUGCAUUAUAGUUUUCAGGUGCUUUCUAAGUCACAUCCUUCAUCAUCAGGUGCUUAUUUUUCCCUCCUUUUUCAUUCAGCUUCUACAUUCCUUCAUAUUUCGGCAGCAUAUCAUUAUGUCAAUAAAAGAAAAAAAGUAGUUCAUCAUCAGUGUCAAAAUAUUUACAAGUUGGAACUGAUGAAGUAUCAUCCCUGUUAGCUUCAUACUACAAUCAAUAACCUUCAGCUGUUUUUUCUUUCCUUCAAAUGACAGCAAAACAUAAAAAUUUCUUUCAAAUUAUAUUAUGUUCCCACAAAUAGACAGUUUUGUUGUUAUGAAAAGCUUUUCGACAAAAGACAUGCUGUAAGUUAAAACUUGAUAAAGCUUUAAAUCAAAUGUUAUUUUAAGACUGAUAGUGUCCUCUUUUGUAAAUUCUUUUCAACUUACUUUGUACCCAAUGUAUAAAAUCAUAAUAUGUUUUAAUACAUAUGUAUUAUUUAUAUAUGCUGCUCAUAAUGAAAAGUAUAUCUCCAAUGUGAAAUCUUAAUUAUUAUGUGAAUAAAAACCCAUUAUUAAAACAAUUAUAUAUAAUAAAACGUUAUUCUAUCAAUGAAGAUUUUUGAAGUGAAGUUGAUGGGGUUUUUUUUUUCUUCGGAUUAACAAUUACUUAAAACUUAUUCAUAGUUUGGAUUAAAUUUAUGUCAUUCUUAUGUGUAUAGAAUUAGUUUAGAAAUUAUUUCAAUUGUUUAAUAUGUAGUUUUUAAAGAAGGAAAUCAAAAUUUUAUGUCUAAUUAAGUUUUUUUUUUAUUUUUUAGUUUUAUUGAUAGUUUCUGUUUAUAGUUUAUACUUCUCCAAUAAUCAGAAUUUUUAUUUGGUUUUUCUUCUGUCUAAAUAUUUUGCCGUGGAUUAAUAGUAAACUAGCUAUCUAAAUUUAUGAAAAAAUUAUAAUGAGUGUUUAUCAAAACUAGUUUUUAAUUUAUAGAUUGAGUUUUAAUUUAAGAAUUCAUCUUAAUAAGAUUUCAGUCCAGUUUGGAAUCUUUAAUCAAUAAGUGCUACCAUAACGUGUUAUUUCUUUUCUCAAAAUCUCAGUAUGGUUGCAAUAAUUUUGCUACUUUUUGAAUUUGUGUAACCAUCUUGAGAUGGAUACAAUGUUGAAUAUUUUUGCUAAGAGUAAAUAGUUUAUGAACUACUUGCGUGAUGUCUAGCCUAUUGUGAAAAGUAUAAAUUACUAUAAAUUAAAUUACUAUAAAAUAAUAAAUUACUAAGUACAGUUAACAUAACUUUUAAGUUUAAUUUUUUUAUGAAAUCAUCCUUAUAUAGUCUAAAUACAAUAGUUCAAACUUAAAGGAAAAAAAGCUCUGUAACUAAAAAUUAUACUAAAGUUUUUUUAAUUAUUUUUUUUAACAAUACAAUGACCUUAUUAAUUAUAUCUAAAAAUGUGAAUGGUUUUCAACUUUCCUAAAGUUUGAAUUGCAAAUAAAGGUAUAUCUUGAGUUAAUAUUAACUUGAAGAUUUAUAAUUAUUUUAAUUUUGUAUCCUGCAUAUAUGUACCUAAAAUUAAAUAUGUAAUUUGCAAAAUUACUUUUGCAGUUAACCAUGGUUUAAACUGUGGAUCGAUUUCUUAAAAAAAAGAUUUGUCGUCUAUCGUAACUACAUUCUAUUUCUUGUUUCAUAUGCAUUUUAGAAUAUGUUCGAUCAAUGGUUGUUAGUAUGCAUUAUUAUAUUUAAUGUUAAGUUUUAUUAUAAGAUAAUUAAAAAGUUAUUUCUAUUAUUACUAUUUUUCCCAUUCACACAGUAAUGUGCUCAAUGUAAUGUCAACUGUUAGAUUUAAUUUUAUUAUUUUCAAAACUUUUAAAUUGUGUAGUAAACGUAUUGCAAUGUCAUUAUGCUGGUAUUUAACCUUUUCAUUUUCAAACUUAAACCUUUUCAUUUUAACCUAAACCGGGUUUUGAAAAAUAAAAUUAUUUUAGAAACAGCAUUUUUAAAAAUUUAUUUUAAGCUUUUUGGACCCAACUUCUAAUGUCUGGAUCAACAUUUUGCACAAUUUUUAUCACUUAAAAAAUGUUUUAAUGUUUAAUUUUUUAUGUCUCUAUACCUAACAAAGCUAUGUAUAAUUCGAUUUACCCUCAUUGGUUGGAGUUUUCAAGUUGAAUGAAAAAUUAUAAGAAAGGUCAGGAAUUCAAUUCAAGUUGCCUUUUAGAUAUAUUUUAGAUA